AUACCGUGAUGAGGACACUGUCUCAAUAGUUCCUUAAACCUCUCCCAUGCAUCAUACAAUGAUUCUCCAUCAUUCUGGUAGAAGUUAUUGAUCCCACCUCUCAACCU